rnacentral:lncRNA from 1 species
GACCCUAUCAAUUAUAUUGGCUUUAGCAUGAGCAACAAAACAACCUUAAUGUGUAUAACAAAAAAAAUGUUUCUAGUUAAUGAUUGUUGUACCCCGUCAAUUUUAAUAUAUAUUUUCACUUCUGGAAAUGUAUCACAAUUUUCAACAACCAAAUCUUGACGGAUUUCGUCUCAAAUCUGUGUACAAAUCUGUGUAUUUUUGUCCAUUUCUGAAAAAAAAUAAAGUUGUUUCAGAACUAUAAGGCAAUGCCCCUUUUAUUGCUAAACUUAUCUAUUCUGAACACAAUGUGUACGUAUAAUUAAUGUCUUUCAGUAUACCUUCACUAGUCAUAAUAUGGACAAAACAUCUGAUGAUAACCUCAAACUACCAUACACAGGCCCUGUCAAACC